AGGCUGGGCAUUGAGCCCGGGGGUGGGGCGGCAGGGAGAUGAGGAGACAGAGGGACAGAGGCAGAGAGAGAGAGAGAGACAAGGACCGAGAGAGGGGAAGAGAAAGAGAGACACACACGGAGCCGGAUUCAGGCUGAGAGAGGCAGAGACCAGAGCAGGGUGGGAUCAACUCCGCAGCGCCAUUCACAUGCCAGAGCUCCCCGUGGGGUCAGGCUGAAGCUGGACGCCGCUGAGACACAUCCUAGCUUAGCCCUGGCCCAGGCCCUGCCCUGCAUCGCUCUCUCCUUUUCUCUGCAAGCAUUCCUCAGUGAGUCACCUGCAUUCCAGCCUUCGUUUCAGGCUCUGCUGGGCACCCGGGCCUGAGACACAGCCCCAGGGACGCCUCCCCGGCUCCCCUUCUGGUCUCAUCUCCAGGGAGCUCUCCUCGCAGGCCUCAUUGUGGCCGUUGUUUGACACUUGCUCAGAUGAUUAUGCGUCUGAGGUCUGUCCUCUACCCCAGAAUACAAGGCAGGGAUCAUAUCGACUGCUCCUGGCUGCGUCCCCAGUGCCCAACACAACGCUUAGCACAGAAUCGGUCAGGAAGUCCUGUCGGCUCUCCCUUUAAGAUACAUCAGAAUCCAGCCAGGGUCCCCUCCACCUGCAACCAGGGGGUCAGAGCACCUUCUGUGGCCUCACGACUCCACCUUCCUCCGCUUGGCCCACUCCCCACGCGCGGCCGAGGGGCCCGUUGCUUCCAGGUGGGUCCUAAGUCGGCUCUCGGCCCUCUGCCCAUAACCCUCCAUGGCUCCCGUCUCCGAGUCUUCCCGAGGGCACAGGGCCCUGCCUGCUCCGGCCCCCGGCCUUUCCACCUGUCUCACUGUUCUCUCCCUGGCUCAUGCAUUCCCGCCACACGGGCCUCCCUGUCGCACUGGGCAGGGCUGACCUCCUUUCACUGCCCUUCCCUCGGCCUUCGGGCUCUUCCCCCAGUUCUGCUGCACAGCUGGGCCCCUUGCCUUACUCAGGUCUCAUCUCAAGGUCACCGCCUCCUGGAGGCCUUCCCUGGUUACCCUGCUAGCUGUCACCCCAGUCCUUCUUCUUGACUUCCACCACGUGAUACAUUAUUUAUUUGUUUGUCUUUCUCCUUCCUUAGAUAGGGCCUGUUGUCUGUCUUGUUCAUGAUGACCCCCGGCGCUCAGCCUGGGCCUGGCACACAGUAGGUAUUCCACAGAGAUGUGCUGAAUCCGUGAAGGGGUGGCAGGAGGGGUGACAUUGGUGCAGAUCGUGCCGCCGUGAAUCGCAAGCCCCCUUCUCCGGCUGGUGGCGUGCGGACGGUGCUAUGGGCACACUCCGCGGCCUGCAGGUCGCAGCUGGGGGGUCCUCCUGGCUGCCCUGUCGAGUGGCCCGUGCUGCCCAGCUCCCUGACGCGCUCACCCGGCGCUGGGCUGCUGUGUUCCCCUGCUUCUCAUCAGCCUCCUCCCCAGACCCGGAGCCCUCUGAGGACCGGCCCUCAUCUGCCUCGGUUCCACUGCUGUCCCUGGUGCCCAGCAUGGGGCCUGGCACCCUGUGCGGGUAUUGGAGGCUGGCUGAUCAAGCUUUGUGUCACAUGCCCAUUUGCAGGGCCAGUUGUGGCCAGGAGGGAGGUACCAGGAGACGCUGCGCCCGGCCCUGAGGCCUGCGGAGUCAGGGCGAGAAAGGGGCCGCUGGGCCCUGAGCGUGAGGACCCGGGGUCAUCCUGGGCUCACACCGAGUCCUAAUCUGAUCUCCUGUCUGGGCCACUCACAGCAGAUCCAGUCACCAGCCGCAGUGUGCUAACUCACUCUGGACCUAUCUCCAUGCUCCACCUCGAUGCUUAUUGGCUUCCUUAAUUAAGUGAAGGUGCAGCGCGGCAGGCGAUGCCCGCAGCCUGCAGGCGAGUCGGCCCGGCCCCCUAAGCCGGGAUAAUAGCUGCUCCCACGCGGGCUGAGGCCUGCGCUGCCAGCUCCCUCCUGCCCAGUUCCAGGCCUGGGCGGGACAGGCCCGCUGAGACCUAGGGAGCCACAAACACUCACCACCGAGGCCUUAAACCGGCGGUGGCGCAUGGGCCAGGUUGGCCUCCAGGUGCGUUGGGUUUGGCCCAUGUGGUUCUUUUGCUGAAAGUCAAAAUGAGCUGCCAACACUGAAAAAUUAGGACACUGUCUGCAAACAUCUGGAUCUCUGGAAGAUGCGGGGACUCUGGGCUCACAGGUGCUGUGUGCUGGAGCUGAGGAGUGGCUGUCCCCACACAGGGGACAUGGCGUCAGUCGCCCCCCCCCAUUUCACGUUGUGUCCCUACCUGGCUCACGUGGGCAGUUGAAGGUGCCACCUCCGCUCUAGGAUUAGAGGUCAGUUGCCAUUUGCAAGAAGGGACACGGAGGCUCAGAAAAGGCAAGUGACUCAACCAAUGAUGCACAGUAAGCCUGGAGCUCAGGUCACCGUCAGCGGGCACGUCCUUCCUGAGCACCCACCGUGUGCCAGGCACUGGGGACACAGAGGGACCAUCACAGAGCCAGCCUUCUGGGGGUGACGGUCUUCUGCCCCACAGCUGUAUUGUCCCCUUUAUCGCUGGGUGACAGUGUCUGUUGAGACAGGUCCUUUCUUAUCCCCGUGAGGCAGCUGCAAGUAGGUUCCCCACCGCGGCUGGGCCUGUCCCAGGACAGGGGCACAGCCAUCGUGGAAGGAAGCCCCUGGCAAGCGUGCCUGCCCCCGGGACCCCCGCUCUGCGCCCUGGGCCCUCUGAG
rnacentral:lncRNA from 1 species